rfam:Aedes albopictus isolate Foshan contig43909, whole genome shotgun sequence.
UGCCCAGCAACUCCUAUCCCUACCUCCUCGCGGUACCGGCCGGAAACUAUGAGUAACCUUAGGGAAGAUCGGGUAACCAACCCCGGUGGGAACUUUGGUCGUAGGCUGACAGGGAAGG